rnacentral:tRNA from 1 species
UCUAAUAUGGCAGAUAAGUGCAGUAGAUUUAAGCUCUACAUAUAAAGUCAUUCACUUUUAUUAGAA